CCAGCAGCUGCGGUAAUUCCAGCUCUAAUAGCAUAUAUUAAAGUUGUUGCAGUUAAAAAGCUCGUAGUCGAAUUUCGGGCUCGUGUGGGCGGUCGGCUUAGGUCGAAUUGCCUGUGCGGGCCUUUCUGCUUGGGAGUCCUGGUAGGUUAACCCCUAUCUGUGAGUCACAGGCCGUUUACUUUGAAAAAAUUAGAGUGUUCAAAGCAGGCUAUUGCUUGAAUAUAUUAGCAUGGAAUAAUAAAAUAAGUCUUUGGUACUAUUUUGUUGGUUUGCGCACCAGAGAAAUGAUUAAUAGGGACAGUUGGGGCUAUUCGUAUUCCAUUGUCAGAGGUGAAAUUCUUGCAUUUCUGGAAGACGAACUACUGCGAAAGCAUUUAGCAAGGAUGUUUUCAUUAAUCAAG
rnacentral:rRNA from 1 species